rnacentral:rRNA from 1 species
AGUGAACGCUGGCGGUAGGCCUAACACAUGCAAGUCGAACGGCAGCACAGUAAGAGCUUGCUCUUACGGGUGGCGAGUGGCGGACGGGUGAGGAAUACAUCGGAAUCUACUUUUUCGUGGGGGAUAACGUAGGGAAACUUACGCUAAUACCGCAUACGACCUACGGGUGAAAGCAGGGGAUCUUCGGACCUUGCGCGAUUGAAUGAGCCGAUGUCGGAUUAGCUAGUUGGCGGGGUAAGGGCCCACCAAGGCGACGAUCCGUAGCUGGUCUGAGAGGAUGAUCAGCCACACUGGAACUGAGACACGGUCCAGACUCCUACGGGAGGCAGCAGUGGGGAAUAUUGGACAAUGGGCGAAAGCCUGAUCCAGCCAUACUGCGUGGGUGAAGAAGGCCUUCGGGUUGUAAAGCCCUUUUGUUGGGAAAGAAAAGCAGCAGGUUAAUACCCCGCUGUUCUGACGGUACCCAAAGAAUAAGCACCGGCUAACUUCGUG